rnacentral:rRNA from 1 species
CUACGGGCGGCUGCAGUGGGGAAUAUUGGACAAUGGGGGGAAACCCUGAUCCAGCAAUGCCGCGUGUGUGAAGAAGGCCUGCGGGUUGUAAAGCACUUUCGGUUGGGAGGACUGCUUCUAGCACUAAUAUUGUUGGAAGUUGACGUUACCUUCAGAAGAAGCACCGGCUAACUCCGUGCCAGCAGCCGCGGUAAUACGGAGGGUGCGAGCGUUAAUCGGAAUUACUGGGCGUAAAGCGCGCGUAGGCGGCUAGAUCAGUCGGGUGUGAAAGCCCUGGGCUUAACCUGGGAACUGCAUCCGAUACUGUCUAGCUUGAGUACAGGAGAGGAGAGUGGAAUUCCACAUGUAGCGGUGAAAUGCGUAGAUAUGUGGAGGAACACCAAUGGCGAAGGCAGCUCUCUGGCCUGAUACUGACGCUGAGGUGCGAAAGCGUGGGGAGCAAACAGGAUUAGAUACCCUAGUAGUC